AUUGAACGCUGGCGGCAUGCCUUACACAUGCAAGUCGAACGGCAGCACGGGAGCAAUCCUGGUGGCGAGUGGCGAACGGGUGAGUAAUAUAUCGGAACGUGCCCGGUCGUGGGGAUAACGUAGCGAAAGCUACGCUAAUACCGCAUACGAUCUACGGAUGAAAGCGGGGGAUCGCAAGACCUCGCGCGAUUGGAGCGGCCGAUAUCAGAUUAGGUAGUUGGUGAGGUAAAGGCUCACCAAGCCGACGAUCUGUAGCUGGUCUGAGAGGACGACCAGCCACACUGGGACUGAGACACGGCCCAGACUCCUACGGGAGCAGCAGUGGGGAAUUUGGACAAUGGGCGCAAGCCUGAUCCAGCAAUGCCGCGUGCAGGAUGAA
rnacentral:rRNA from 1 species